CUAUUGCACCAGAAGUAGCUAGCUUAACCUUCGGGAGGGCGGUUACCACGGUGUGGUCGAUGACUGGGGUGAAGUCGUAACAAGGUAGCCGUAGGUGAACCUGCAGAAGGAUCA
rnacentral:rRNA from 1 species